rnacentral:misc_RNA from 1 species
CCGAGUUUACAACUCCCAAACCCAAUGUGAACGUUACCAAACUGUUGCCUCGGCGGGAUCUCUGCCCCGGGUGCGUCGCAGCCCCGGACCAAGGCGCCCGCCGGAGGACCAACCAAAACUCUUAUUGUAUACCCCCUCGCGGGUUUUUUUUUAUAAUCUGAGCCUUCUCGGCGCCUCUCGUAGGCCGUUUCGAAAAUGAAUCA